UUAUCUUUUCGGGGUAGAUCCCUGUAUAGUUAUGUCAGAGCCACACUUGACUGCUUAGAAUCACACAUAAGUUGGACAAAUAUGUAUAUUUUUACUCGUAAAACAUA
rfam:Populus trichocarpa scaffold_4_contig_385, whole genome shotgun sequence.